GCAAACUUGGUCAUUUAGAGGAAGUAAAAGUCGUAACAAGGUUUCCGUAGGUGAACCUGCGGAAGGAUCAUUAUUGAAUGAACUUGGGCUGUUGCUGGCUCCUCUGGGGGCAUGUGCACGCCAAUUUCUUUCCACCUGUGCACCUUAUUGUAGACUAGGAAUUAGCUCUUCGAGGUUGACUCGGUUUUUGGUAAUUGCAGUGUGUUCAAGCCUGCUUUUUUGCCUAUGGUUCCUGUCUAUGCUUUUUCAUAUACUCCUAUUUGUAUGUCUGGAAAUGUUAUUGAAUGGCAUAAAUUGCCUUUAAUCUUAUACAACUUUCAACAACGGAUCUCUUGGCUCUUGCAUCGAUGAAGAACGCAGC
rnacentral:misc_RNA from 1 species